CAAUAGCGUAUAUUAAAGUUGUUGCGGUUAAAAAGCUCGUAGUUGGAUUUCUGCUGAGAACGACCGGUCCGCCCUUUGGGUGUGUAUCUGGCUCUUUCUUGGCAUCUUCUUGGUGAACGUUGCUGCACUUGACUGUGUGGAGCGCUACCCAGGACUUUUACUUUGAGGAAAUUAGAGUGUUUCAAGCAGGCAUACGCCUUGAAUACAUUAGCAUGGAAUAAUAAGAUAGGACCUCGGUUCUAUUUUGUUGGUUUCUAGAGCUGAGGUAAUGAUUAAUAGGGAUAGUUGGGGGCAUUCGUAUUUAACUGUCAGAGGUGAAAUUCUUGGAUUGCGAUGCGACGAACUACUGCGAAAGCAUUUACCAAGGAUGUUUUCAUUGA
rnacentral:rRNA from 1 species